GGGCACUCAUUUAUUUUCUCUCACUUCAAACACACCCAACACAACACAGAUAGAGAGAGAGAGAGAGAGAGCGCCGUCUUCACUUCAAACACACCCAACACAACACAGAUAGAGAGCGCCGUCUACAUUGCCAUCGUCGUCGCCGUCCACGGCCUUUUCCCUUUCUCUCUCUUUUGAUUUAAGGUUUGGGGUUCACUCCUUUGUUGAUUUAACCACCUGUUGUUGCUGUUUCUCAAAAUCGACUUCUAUUUAAUUCAUCAGCUGACACACACAAUGUAGUAAAAAAUGGAGUUUCAAAGCAACACUCAUUGCUUCACAGAGACCACCACUUCACUGUCAGCCUGUGUUACCUCUACUUUUCUGGUGUUUCAAGUUAUCAAAAAAGGGUAUUAAUUGCUGGGAAAAGUAACAAAACAAUUACACAGUGGAACUUGCUGUGGAACUUGAAACUGCUGCACGGUUGAGGGCUUCUCGGUUCAUUGUACCUCAAA